GAUGAACGCUGGCGGCGUGCCUAAUACAUGCAAGUCGAGCGAACGGACGAGAAGCUUGCUUCUCUGAUGUUAGCGGCGGACGGGUGAGUAACACGUGGAUAACCUACCUAUAAGACUGGGAUAACUUCGGGAAACCGGAGCUAAUACCGGAUAAUAUUUUGAACCGCAUGGUUCAAAAGUGAAAGACGGUCUUGCUGUCACUUAUAGAUGGAUCCGCGCUGCAUUAGCUAGUUGGUAAGGUAACGGCUUACCAAGGCAACGAUGCAUAGCCGACCUGAGAGGGUGAUCGGCCACACUGGAACUGAGACACGGUCCAGACUCCUACGGGAGGCAGCAGUAGGGAAUCUUCCGCAAUGGGCGAAAGCCUGACGGAGCAACGCCGCGUGAGUGAUGAAGGUCUUCGGAUCGUAAAACUCUGUUAUUAGGGAAGAACAUAUGUGUAAGUAACUGUGCACAUCUUGACGGUACCUAAUCAGAAAGCCACGGCUAACUACGUGCCAGCAGCCGCGGUAAUACGUAGGUGGCAAGCGUUAUCCGGAAUUAUUGGGCGUAAAGCGCGCGUAGGCGGUUUUUUAAGUCUGAUGUGAAAGCCCACGGCUCAACCGUGGAGGGUCAUUGGAAACUGGAAAACUUGAGUGCAGAAGAGGAAAGUGGAAUUCCAUGUGUAGCGGUGAAAUGCGCAGAGAUAUGGAGGAACACCAGUGGCGAAGGCGACUUUCUGGUCUGUAACUGACGCUGAUGUGCGAAAGCGUGGGGAUCAAACAGGAUUAGAUACCCUGGUAGUCCACGCCGUAAACGAUGAGUGCUAAGUGUUAGGGGGUUUCCGCCCCUUAGUGCUGCAGCUAACGCAUUAAGCACUCCGCCUGGGGAGUACGACCGCAAGGUUGAAACUCAAAGGAAUUGACGGGGACCCGCACAAGCGGUGGAGCAUGUGGUUUAAUUCGAAGCAACGCGAAGAACCUUACCAAAUCUUGACAUCCUUUGACAACUCUAGAGAUAGAGCCUUCCCCUUCGGGGGACAAAGUGACAGGUGGUGCAUGGUUGUCGUCAGCUCGUGUCGUGAGAUGUUGGGUUAAAUCCCGCAACGAGCGCAACCCUUAAGCUUAGUUGCCAUCAUUAAGUUGGGCACUCUAAGUUGACUGCCGGUGACAAACCGGAGGAAGGUGGGGAUGACGUCAAAUCAUCAUGCCCCUUAUGAUUUGGGCUACACACGUGCUACAAUGGACAAUACAAAGGGCAGCGAAACCGCGAGGUCAAGCAAAUCCCAUAAAGUUGUUCUCAGUUCGGAUUGUAGUCUGCAACUCGACUACAUGAAGCUGGAAUCGCUAGUAAUCGUAGAUCAGCAUGCUACGGUGAAUACGUUCCCGGGUCU
rnacentral:rRNA from 1 species